rnacentral:rRNA from 1 species
GACGAGGUGCACAAACGUUAUUCGGAAUUACUGGGCUUAAAGCGUGCGUAGGCGGCCUAGCAAGUCGGGUGUGAAAGCCCUCGGCUCAACCGAGGAAUUGCGCCCGAAACUGCUGGGCUUGAGUGAGACAGAGGUGAGCGGAACUGAUGGUGGAGCGGUGAAAUGCGCAGAUAUCAGGAGGAACACCGAUGGCGAAGGCAGGUCUCUGGGCAUUAACUGACGCUGAGGAGCGAAAGCAUGGGGAGCGAACAGG